GCUUAUAUUAUAUUAUAAGCGAGUGCAGAAUAUAAAUUAAUAUUUGUGUUGUCGCUCUUACGUUUUUCUGCUGACUCACUGGAUCUCCAGUCGACAAACGGAAUCCUAUUCGGUGACGGAAAUGCGUAAGCUCGUUAAGAAUACGAGUAAAUCUAGUAGUCAUUCUACAAAACGUCUUUACCAUAUAAACUAGAAUUAUAUAGGUCAAUAUCAGGUUAAUAUUUACUGUUGUUUCAGUAAGGUUUUGGAGAUUUGAUACUUCCGGCCCCCUCGUUCAGCGCCUGCUGUAGGUAUUCUGUAUUAGGUAUUCUGGGGGCGACAGCAACUCGUUUGCCAUCUCGCUCGUUUCGUGUUAAAAUUAUAUGCUGCAUCUGUAUCACCUAUCGUUACAGACACGGAAUAUCUUUCCAUCCAUUUCCAGCAAAAACAGUAAGGAGGAAUGCUUGGAUUUAGUGACAGAACCUGGACAAAUCUCCCUGGAUCACAGGAAAGAGCCAUUAUGUGGGGUUCACGUUAGCGGCAGACUGACCCAGGCUGACUCCAAAUACAGUCAUUUGCCUAGUUCUGGAUCACGUUUUUGAAAGUCCCACUAUCCGGUUGUUAAGACGUGACGCAACGCAUCAUGUGAUUUUCAACUUCCGGCUCCAAACAAAAAAGGCGCGCUGCUGCGGUUACAUGGACCAAAAGUAAUCUGAUUGAACAAUCAGAUUGAACAAUCAGAUCAAAAUCACGCCAUGUAAACAGCUCCAUCUGAUUAGAAUAGCCCAAUCCAAUCGAAAUUAUGAUCGGGUUAGAGGAGGUGGUGUAACCCUGUUUUAACCCGAUCGCGUUCCAUGUAAACGGCACAUCGGAUUGUCCGCCUGUGUGAAGCCUUAUUGCGCAUGUCUGUUACGUCACAUCACCACGUGACGCUUCCUGCUCUAUGUUCCCGGAAAUAAUACAGCUGGACUUACAAGAUCCGACACUCGUCAACUUUUUUAAAUAAUUUAAAAUAAGUGGAAAAGCUUGACGGACGUAAGUUGGCAGCAUAGACUUGUUGUGUCCCGAGUCAGCAGGUCAGUAGAGCAAAUUAAAAACCGCUGGGAAGCAACGAGCGCUUUGUACAAGCAGCUAAAAACGAGCAGAAGCGGCGUGGCUCCAACCAGCUUCACUUAUUAUGUAUUAAUGGAGUAAUAAUCGGAGGUCGACUGCUUUCCAAGGAGCACACUGGAGUAGAAGUCGGUUUUCCACCCGAGGAAAGUUCACCGAAGACACCGGAAAGCCUGGAGAUGAUGAUGGAAACAGCACGUCGGAGGAGAUUGAUGACAGCAGCUUAACAACCUGAAGACCACACAGAGGAGGCUCCAGACAAAAAAAAUCGAAAGUCAUCAUCUGGUGAUGCCAAGCUCCUGAGUGAUCGGUCAGCCCAGCAGAGAUCUUUCCUGGACAGUAUACAACAGCAGCACGAGAGGAAUCUGGAAAGAGAAGAGAGGCUUCGUUCCAGGUUUAUGGAAGAAAGUACCCGCUCAACUGAAAGCAUUAUAGGGCAAUUGUUUGAUGGUCUUCAGGCUCUCCUUUCUCAAUCCUACUCAUCAGCUCCACAUUUACAUGAACAAAAUUAGUCUGGGACCUCGCUGAGACAAGCAUGUAACAGCCCGAAAAUGACCACUCAUCCCAAGUGUUACUUCAAAUACAGCUGGAUUUUCUAAACUGCAGCAGCUGAAGGUUUUCCAAGGUACUUGGUAUGCUCAGAAUGACCAGUACAUGUUUAGAAGGGUCAUAGAGUGUAAAAUUUCAAAUUUUUAUAUUUUACGAAAAAAACAUCAGGUCAAAUGACCUACAUACAGUCUGGAAUUGCCACAUAUUUAAUAUCUUAAACUUUCUGUUGUGGAUGUUCCCUGAUAAUCUUUAAAACAUUUAAGAUCUCUAGAUAGUGCUGUCUGCCAAAGAUACAAAGUUUUUGUAUUUUCACUUUAAAUGCAUAUUCCAUUGAUAACAG